CUCCUCUCGGAGGAUUUGAACCUUCGACCUUUUGGUUAACAGCCAAACGCUCUAACCACUGAGCUAGAGAGGA
rnacentral:tRNA from 1 species